rnacentral:rRNA from 1 species
GACGAACGCUGGCGGCGUGCUUAACACAUGCAAGUCGAGCGGUAAGGCCCUUUCGGGGGUACACGAGCGGCGAACGGGUGAGUAACACGUGGGUGACCUGCCCUCAGCUCUGGGAUAAGCCUGGGAAACCGGGUCUAAUACUGGAUAUGACUCCAUGACGCAUGUUGUGGGGUGGAAAGCCUUGUGCGGCUGAGGAUGGGCCCGCGGCCUAUCAGCUUGUCGGUGGGGUGANGGCCUACCAAGGCGACGACGGGUAGCCGGCCUGAGAGGGCGACCGGCACACUGGGACUGAGACACGGUCCAGACUCCUACGGGAGGCAGCAGUGAGGAAUCUUGCGCAAUGGGCGAAAGCCUGACGCAGCGACGCCGCGUGGAGGAUGAAGGUCUUCGGAUUGUAAACUCCUGUCGAGCGGGAC